rnacentral:rRNA from 1 species
UGACCUCAAAUCAGGUAGGACUACCCGCUGAACUUAAGCAUAUCAAUAAGCGGAGGAAAAGAAACUAACAAGGAUUCCCCUAGUAACUGCGAGUGAAGCGGGAAGAGCUCAAAUUUUGAAUCUGGCAGUCUCUUGGCUGUCCGAGUUGUAAUCUAGAGAAGUGUUUUCCGCGCUGGACCGUGUAUAAGUCUCCUGGAAGGGAGCGUCGUAGAGGGUGAGAAUCCCGUCUUUGACACGGACUACCAGUGCUAUGUGAUGCGCUCUCGACGAGUCGAGUUGUUUGGGAAUGCAGCUCAAAAUGGGUGGUAAACUCCAUCUAAAGCUAAAUACAGGCGAGAGACCGAUAGCGAACAAGUACCGUGAGGGAAAGAUGAAAAGAACUUUGGAAAGAGAGUUAAACAGUACGUGAAAUUGCUGAAAGGGAAACGCUUGAUGUCAGUCGCGUUGGCUGGGGAUCAACCUUGCUUCUCGCUGGGUGUACUUCCCGGUCGACGGGUCAGCAUCAGUUUCGGUCGCCGUACAAGGGCGAGGGGAACGUGGCACUCUUCGGAGUGUGUUAUAGCCUUUCGUCGUAUGCGGUGGUCGGGACUGAGGAGCUCAGCACGGCUUUUUGCUUGUGCUCAGGAUGCUGGCAUAAUGGCCUUAAGCGACCCGUCU